UCGUGUGACCAGAGAGAGAGACCAGGCAGUCCAGAAGAACAGUGAGCUGAGUCAGGACCUGCUUGCAGUACGGGAGCAGAAGGACAGGGUGACUACUGCUCACAGGAACUGCGAGCGCAUGCUAGUCCAUGUGCUUGGAUAGAGGAAUGAAGCCUGGCACGAGGAGGACACUUUGAGGGCCCGACAGCUAGAGCUAGAGCAGCAGCUAGCUAAUGCCGAGGAGUACAAUGAGAACUUGCAUGAGGAGAUCCACCAGCUGCAUAACCAGCUUCACCCUCACCACCUACCUGGAGCCGCGGAGCUAGACUCUGAGGACGAGAUGGACGCGGAUCCCGAGUUAGGAGCAGCUGCUAGUGGUGACGAGGAUGAGGAUGGCUCUGGCAUGGACAGUGACCACAGCGAGUAGAUGCUAGGGCUCUGGAGCUAGUCUUCCCUCCCUUGUUGUUGUAUGUUGCAUGGCAUGUCGUGUACUUUUGGGAUCUGGGCUGUGUAAGACUUUAUGAGUUGAUACCGAAAGUCCAGUGUAUGUAUGCUGGCAAGUUGGAUGUACGCGAACCUUGUUGCGUAAAUGUUAAGUAAUCUGUUAGUGAUGUUGUGCGUGGAUAAUGAGUUAUUGUGCCUUUGUUUAUUGUGUGAAUCUAUUCCCUCAGUAAAUUCAGUAUGGCACGAUUUUAC
rnacentral:lncRNA from 1 species